rfam:Ictidomys tridecemlineatus contig124791, whole genome shotgun sequence.
UGGGUUGUAACUCAGUAGUAGAAUGCUUGUCUUGUAAGCAUGAAGCCCUGGGUUUUAACCCCAGUAUACCUC